rnacentral:rRNA from 1 species
UACGAAGGGGGCCAGCGUUGCUCGGAAUUACUGGGCGUAAAGCGCACGUAGGCGGAUUGUUAAGUCGGGGGUGAAAUCCUGGAGCUCAACUCCAGAACUGCCUUCGAUACUGGCGAUCUCGAGUUCGGGAGAGGUGAGUGGAACUGCGAGUGUAGAGGUGAAAUUCGUAGAUAUUCGCAAGAACACCAGUGGCGAAGGCGGCUCACUGGCCCGAUACUGACGCUGAGGUGCGAAAGCGUGGGGAGCAAACAGG